CACGUAGGGGGCAAGCGUUGUCCGGAUUUAUUGGGCGUAAAGAGCUCGUAGGCGGCUCAGUAAGUCAGGUGUGAAACCUCCAGGCUCAACCUGGAGACGCCACCUGAUACUGCUGUGGCUAGAGUCCGGUAGGGGAGCGUGGAAUUCCUGGUGUAGCGGUGAAAUGCGCAGAUAUCAGGAGGAACACCCGUGGCGAAGGCGGCUCUCUGGGACGGUACUGACGCUGAGACGCGAAAGCGUGGGGAGCGAACAGG
rnacentral:rRNA from 1 species